rnacentral:tRNA from 1 species
GCCCUCGUGGCCUAACGGAAUAAGGCAUCGGUCUUCUAAACGGGGAUUGCGGGUUCGAGUCCCGCCGAGGGUG